rnacentral:lncRNA from 1 species
UUAUUAGCCAGGAGAUGUGUGCACACCGAUGUCUCUGUCUUCUUCCGUCGCCUCCAAUAUGUUUUUCUUUGUGUUUUUUUUUUUUUUGUCAAGACAACAAAAUGCUGCUCGGGACGGAAGGGGAAGAGGAGCGUGCUGGAGCGCGAAGGCUGAUGAGGCGCUUGACGAUGACACGAUGACAAGCGUGACGCGUCUGAUACAGGGAUUCUUUGUUUUGAAGUCAUCUUCGUGGGCAUCGCCGAUGACAGCAGCAUCUGUCGCCAUUUCCAGCGCGGCACCGCAAGCCGCAACACGCGACGCUAACGAGCCUGCCGUCGCACAAAGAAGCCGCUGAACUAUUGCACACCCAACAGCAGAACAAUUAAUUACAGCCAGUGUGGUAUGAUGUGUAAAUGGAAUACAUUUCUCAUCAAAUUAUCUUGGGAGAUAUCAAGCAAGUGAACUGCGGAGGGGAGCGCCAGGCACCAGUGGGCACGGAGAGAAAGUUGAUGCUUUGAAUAAUCGUAACGGCGUCGCCUGCGUCGAAGGGGAUUCUGUGUGUGGAGCGCGACGAGCAGGGCCCCUGGAAACUGCACGUCUUCAGACUAGAGAGGGUGAAUUCAUCACGUUAUUCUUGUUAAGGAUACGAUUGAAAGGGUUGGCCAUAGAGGAGCCUAGACGUGCAACACUGCUACUACUUUCACCUAAUACUGUCAAAAUGAAAGUGAAACCUGGAUGAGUGAUUAGUUAAAAACCUCCAAAUGGGCUCAUAAAGGAGUUCUGGGUCCAGGUUGUCAUUUUUCUUUCCUCUCACAUGCAGCCAAGCACAAAGACAAGCGUGUUUCCUCCUGCAGACAGGAGCCUGGAAGCCUGGUUUCCCACGGGGCCAAUGUGAGGGCCCGUUUUCACGCGAGUCGAUCCCCAGGGGAAACGAAAGCAGACCGACCCCACGGCAGCCUCUCUGGAGCUGUGGGCCAACAGACGAAGGCAGCUGAUUUACUUACAGGUCGACCUGCAUCACGAGGGCAAGCGCUUGUUUAUCUGGGUCUCACCGUGGUCCUGUACCAGCGUCACGGCGGGACAGCGUCUGAUGGGACGAACCGUGGAGUUCCUCCUCCUGCAAAAUGAGUCACUUUACUCUAUAUGUGCUUGUUAGCACAAAAGCAGUAAUAACUGAAGAUGUCAAUGCUGUUGUUUCUUUUCUCUGGUUUGGCAGAGAAUUGGGUCAUAUCAAAAUUGUGAUUCAUGUCACAAAGAGCUUGAUUCCAGCCGCUGUAAAGCUGAAAAAAACUGAAUGUUUUCCCAUUUUCAAACCGUCACCCACUUUGUUAUAAACGCUUUCAUUCACAACCAAA